rnacentral:lncRNA from 1 species
UCACACAGCUUGUUUGUCACCAUUUUCAGGCUAAGGCGGGCCACACUGAGAGUUGGGGGUUCGAGUUUGGCCCGCAGGACUUCAGGCCUUGCCAUUCCUAUCCCAUAUGACAGUUACUUAGAGGACUACAAAGAAGAAAAAGAAUGGUGUAACUGACUGUCUGAUCCAAGCGGGCAGAGUCUUCAGACAACUGUUUCCUUGACCGUUUUUCCAGGUAAGUACAGUUAAGGUCAUAGAAAGGAACACUAAGUUAUUUGAAAGGCAGGGGAGCUUAGGCUUGAUGUUAGCCCUAUUCAGGCAUUACUUAGGCAGGUAGAAUCAUCAUUUUCAGAAGAGAGGGCUGUCCCCUACCCUACCCCGUCAUGGCAUUCUCCAGCUGGGAUGCAAUGUGUUUGCAGAACAAAUAUUGUUG